rnacentral:tRNA from 1 species
GGGGGUAUAGCUCAGUGGUAGAGCGCUCCCUUAGCAUGGGGAGAGGGGCUGGGGGUUCAAUUCCCCAUAACCUCC